AGAGCGGCCGCUGGACGCUGCAGCACCAGGUGUCGGUUGAUCUUUUGCCUAGUGGAGGUAAUGCCAAGGAGAUGCCUUUUGUUGCUGCUGUCGAUCCACUGGACACCAACCUGCUGCAUCUCAACGUGGACAGAGUUAAUUUCAGCAUCGACAUGUCCAGGAAGAGGAUGAUUGAGAUUACUGCAAUACCUAGUGACAUGUAUCCUCCGAGCGAGGCCGCAACAACCUCCUAUCUACCUUGUGUGCUCCCCUCAUUUCUUCGAUCAAGCACGAUUCCAGGUAAGAAGUGUGUCAUGAAAAACAAGACUUUGGCAGAUGUUCUGGUUCGUGUAGACAGACAUCACGCUAAAUGAAGCGUGCCAAGUUACCAUCCAAUGCGUCGCUGGGUUUCUAACAAUCAAGUAGUAGCUGAUGCGCGAUAGGUGAUGGUGGGACUCAGAUUUUGUGGGAAAUCUGGAGAUGUUUGGGUUUCGAGAUUUUGAUGCUUGUUCAGACUCCAUACUAAGGCAGCCCGCGCUCAUCCCUUCGUAGCAAAAGGCGGAUGCAUCCACAUGUUUAACUCCCUUGAGAGAAACUUAUUUGUAUGAGACAUGUGACGAAUCGAUGAUGAGCGUUUCAGUAUUAUGCUUAUUUGCAUGUUA